ACCACCUGGAGAUCUUGUUAAAAUGCAGAUUCCCAUCCAGAGGGAAUGAGGGAGGGCCUGAGACUCUGCAUUUCUAACAAGCUCCCUAGUGAUGCCAA
rnacentral:pre_miRNA from 1 species